rnacentral:rRNA from 1 species
GGGGAAUAUUGGACAAUGGCCGAAAGCCUGAUCCAGCCAUGCCGCGUGUGUGAAGAAGGUCUUCGCAUUGUAAAGCACUUUAAGUUUGGAGGAUGGGCUGCAAGUUAAUACCUUGUAGUUUUGACGUUACCAACAGAAUAAGCACCGGCUAACUUCGUCCCAGCAGCCGCGGUAAUACGAAGGGUGCAAGCGUUAAUCGGAAUUACUGGGCGUAAAGCGUGCGCAGGCGGUUUGGUAAGACAGGUGUGAAAUCCCCGGGCUUAACCUGGGAACUCCGCUUGUGACUGCCAGGCUAGAGUACGGCAGAGGGGGGUGGAAUUCCACGUGUAGCAGUGAAAUGCGUAGAGAUGUGGAGGAACACCGAUGGCGAAGGCAGACCCCUGGGCCUGUACUGACGCUCAUGCACGAAAGCGUGGGGAGCAAACA